rnacentral:rRNA from 1 species
GUGGGGAAUAUUGGACAAUGGGCGAAAGCCUGAUCCAGCAAUGCCGCGUGAGUGAUGAAGGCCUUAGGGUUGUAAAGCUCUUUUACCAGGGAUGAUAAUGACAGUACCUGGAGAAUAAGCUCCGGCUAACUCCGUGCCAGCAGCCGCGGUAAUACGGAGGGAGCUAGCGUUGUUCGGAAUUACUGGGCGUAAAGAGUACGUAGGCGGUUAUUCAAGUCAGAGGUGAAAGCCUGGAGCUCAACUCCAGAACUGCCUUUGAAACUAGAAUAGCUAGAAUCUUGGAGAGGUGAGUGGAAUUCCGAGUGUAGAGGUGAAAUUCGUAGAUAUUCGGAAGAACACCAGUGGCGAAGGCGACUCACUGGACAAGUAUUGACGCUGAGGUACGAAAGCGUGGGGAGCAAACAGGAUUAGAUACCCCCGUAGUCC